rnacentral:rRNA from 1 species
AAAGCCUGUCUCAGUUCGGAUUGGAGUCCGCAACCCGACUCCAUGAAGCUGGAUUCGCUAGUAAUCGCGCAUCAGCCACGGCGCGGUGAAUACGUUCCCGGGCCUUGUACACACCGCCCGUCAAGCCAUGGAAGCCGGGGGUGCCUGAAGUGCGCUGCCGCAAGGAGCGCCCUAGGGUAAAACCGGUGACUGGGGCUAAGUCGUAACAAGGUAUC